UGAAAGAUGGGUGAGCGGUUUAAACCGUAUGUUUAGAAAACAUACAUAAAUAAUUUUAUCAAGGGUUCAAAUCCCUUUCUUUCAU
rnacentral:tRNA from 1 species